UUUUGCAGUUCUUGAAUAAAGGAGGCAUCCGAGUCAGACACUGGAUCACUUCAGACCUGGAGAAUGCGUGAGUUUGUCGAGGUGUGAUGUUGGGUCCGAACUUGAUGAACUAACUGGCCGCUCCUCAUAAUUCUUGAAUACACUGAAGCUUUAAGGCAAUAUUACAAAGUCCUAGUAAAAUGGCGAAGGCGAGCCUUAGAACAACGGACUGCCAAUUCAGAUUUGAACUCUCUUUGUUGUAUAAUAUUGGAAGGGAAGCCUCGGAACAAUGGUAAAGUUGUCUCCGUAUAACUACUAGGUUAUGAAUUCGAGCAGCUGAAGCAACCGCUAAUGCUUGCGUUAGAAUAGAUUGCCUACAUUCGUAGCUCUUGGGAUGCGACCCUUCUCUGGACCGCUGCGUGAACGUGACAUACCUUGUGCACCGAGCUGCCUUUUUUUAUGAAACUGGAACGCGCGUACCCCAAAUCCACGAAUGUAAAAUUUCUUUAAAAUCACGUAAAUAAUAUUAAAAAUAUGUUUGAAUUA